rnacentral:lncRNA from 12 species
AUUCUCAGGCUGAUGGAGUGAGUGACAGAGUGGGUUGCCAACUCGAGUGACUCCACUCAGUGUACACAGUGGCUACGGGGGAUAGAUUCAGACAUGCCCAAAGAAGUCUGCCUAUGGGGAGACUCAUACCUUUGAGGUUUAAAUCAGAAACUACACGAUUCUUGUUGCUAUAUUUUGUUAAAAAGGAAAGAGAGGCUGUUUCUACAGGUGUUACAGAAAAAUCAAUACUGAGCCACGGAUUAUUGGAUCCCAUAGAACCAUGGAGACUUGGCAGUGAAAUUCUUCCAAAGGCAGACGGUGUUCCUAGGUUUGGAAGUAUAAAUCCCAGGGGAAGUGAGCUGAAGAACAUUUCAUGCAUCACUCAUCCUAUUAUGAGCCUUGUGCUGUUCCAUCUCUCUACAAGACUGGCAGAAACAACAACAAAAAUUGUUUAUAAUUUACAUUCUAACUUUGGAUCACCUAGCUCAUACCCUGACUCUGACUACCCAGAGAGACAAAGCUUUGAAGGAAGAAGUAGCUAUUGGAAGGCCGUUUCUGCUUUAUUAAUAAAAUCACAGGGAAAAUGCGACAUUCUGGAUGUCCCAUCUGAUGAGGAGGUUUAA